rnacentral:rRNA from 1 species
UACGUAGGGCGCAAGCGUUGUCCGGAAUUAUUGGGCGUAAAGAGCUCGUAGGUGGUUUGUUACGUCUGCUGUGAAAACCUAGGGCUUAACCCUGGGCCUGCAGUGGAUACGGGCAGACUAGAGGUAGGUAGGGGAGAAUGGAAUUCCCGGUGUAGCGGUGAAAUGCGCAGAUAUCAGGAGGAACACCGGUGGCGAAGGCGGUUCUCUGGGCCUGUACUGACGCUGAGGAGCGAAAGCGUGGGGAGCGAACAGG